UUGGAUUACUGGGUGUCCUACUUUUGUUU
rnacentral:piRNA from 1 species